rnacentral:rRNA from 1 species
UACGUAGGGGGCUAGCGUUGUCCGGAAUCAUUGGGCGUAAGGCGCGUGUAGGCGGCCCGGUAAGUCCGCUGUGAAAGUCGGGGGCUCAACCCUCGAAUGCAGGUGGAUACUGUCGGGCUAGAGUGCGGAAGAGGCGAGUGGAAUUCCUGGUGUAGCGGUGAAAUGCGCAGAUAUCAGGAGGAACACCAAUUGCGAAGGCAGCUCGCUGGGACGUAACUGACGCUGAGACGCGAAAGCGUGGGGAGCAAACAGG